rnacentral:lncRNA from 10 species
AAAUUGGAGUAUUUUUGCACCCAGAUCAAGCACAAAGCCAUUUUGCUUGGAUCAUGAACCAGGCCAAUGGACUGACUGAGAGACAUUGUUUGUUGGAAGUCUGGCGUGUGUAGAUCUACUUCUGAACAAAAUUUAUUUUGCACAGUUUUGAAGUCUGGGACGUCCAAAAUCAAGACACAAGCAGGUCUGGUGUCUGGUGAGAGUUGCUUGUUCUGCUUCCAAGAUGGUGCCGUGGUACUGUAUUCUCAGGAGGGCACAGAUGCUGUUUUCUCACAUGGCAGAAGAAAUGGAAGGGACCAGUUCAUCCAACAUCCCUUAGAGAUGCCAGCAUCAGCUGUCUGCUUACCCAUCCUGCAGUGGAGGUUUGAAUCCCGGCUUCCAGUCUCUUUCUCUGACUCAGAGACAUCAUGGCCAGCUGAACACCGUGCCCUACUCUGAGGUCUGAGUUUCACUCCAGGAGGCCACUCCUCCAAGAUUUCCAAAUUUUAGUGAUCUCAACUUCUCAUUGUUUCCUCAACUGCAUGGGGUGUUUCCUGUAACGGUUUCCUGCCAUUUCUGCCUCCAUGAUGCCUUAUGUACAGAAAAGAUUUAAUAUAGCAGGCCUGAGUCCGCUAUCCUCAGAAAGUCCUGUUGCAAGUUUGGGCCCCAGCUGGUGUCUGGAAACUAAGAUUUUGGGAAGAUUCUCACCUUUCCCUGAUAAGAAUAGCUGGCUGUGCCUAAACUGUGCAAACACAGUUUAUACCAAGUGCAUACCAAGUUUAUAUCAAGUGCAUACCAGUUUAUACCAAGUAUAUACCAGUUUAUACUUGGUGCAAACUGUGGUUUAUACCAAGCACCUGCUCUCCUUUGAAGUCUGGAAUUUUGGCAAAUGACAGGCAGAGAGUGCCUACAUGAUCAGUCCUCAGUAAGACAUUGGGCACUGUGUCUCUAAUGAGAAUCUCUGGUAGAAAACACUUCAUGUGGAUUGUCGUAAUUCAUCGCUGGGAAAAUUUAACACAUUCUUUGUGACUCCACUGGGAGAAGAUGCUUGGAAGCUUAAGACUGGUUUCCUUCUGAUUUCAUACAUGCACCUUUUCUCCUUUUGCUGAUUUUGCUUCAUAUCCUUUUUCUGCAGUAAAUUAUAGCCUGAGUAUGACUAUAUGCCAUAUACUGUGAGGCGCUUCAGUGAACCUAGAUGUAGUCAUGGGGAUGCCUGAUAUACCUUAGUACUUCCUUUUUUUUUUUAGUUAUUCCAUACUUAAGUUAUAAUUCUAUACAUUAGAUUUUCUCUGUUAAAAAUAACUGGUAUAGAGUAAGCCCUAAAACUCUUCUCUACGUACCACAGUUUUUCAUAAUAAACCAGGUAACCAUGUCAGAAGAAUUACCUGAACAUAAAUAUUAUAUACCUAUAUCUAUCUACCUACCUAAGUA